CCCCGGCGCACGGGCACACCCCGGAGGCCAUCUUCCCAGGAGAGAGGGGUUUCGUUCACAAAAGCCUUGCUCGGUUCUACUGCCUUCUGAAUUUGGUAAGAUAACUGAUUACUAGUUUGGAACCUAAAAGAAAGUUUACUUUGCACUGAAGAUUACUGAUGCAUGCAAGCUCUCUAUUCCUGUAGUAAACAUGAAAUUACUUCUCUGAUAUAAUCUGAGUUAUCAUAAAUACUCUAUUACAAAGGAAAAGGACCUCACAAAUAACUAGAUUUUUAGUUCAACUUGGAAACCAUGCAUUGGAGCAAGAAAACUGGAGAGAUGUGCCAGUGAACCACACAGUGAUGUUAAGGCAUGCCCACUUCACCUUGGAAGCACCAUCUCUGGGGUGGUUUCCAUGAACUAGAAAUACAGCCUCUGAAAAUUUUGCAGAAGGUGAGAGCACGAUCACACUUCCUUGUCUGAAUGACAGCUGCUUUUUAAAACAUAAAUCUCUGCCAUGUAAUUAUAAGGAACUUCUAGAAACAAAACCACAUAACUCUCCUUACUGUUUCAACAGCUUUGUAUUCUGUGAAUCAACAUCAACUCUAGAACUAAAUUAAAAGACAGAAAUAUGUCUUUCCCAAGAAAUAGUCUAGACUCAUUGGUAAGGAAAACACUGGGAGAGGAGUACUAGCUAAUACAGUCUGUACCUCCUCAUCUAAGCAACUCUCAAUCUAGGAAAGCAAUAUGCACUCUUAAAUGGGACUUAGUACUCAGAAACACCUAAAGUAAUAAAAAGCAGUAGUGGCAUUGAAAUCAAAAAUAAUAGAAUCAUUUUGCUCUUCUGGCCAUAUCUCAUUAGCUCAUUCGGUCAUACAUGAAAUAAACAAAUAAUUAAUCUCAGGUCCCCCAUUACUAAGAAGUAGAUAAUAAAACCUGGAAACUUAUUACCUUAUAUUUUAAAUUUAUGACCAGUAUUAAGGAGUAUGUGUCAUGUUUCUCUAAGAACAUUUGUUUAUAAAUUAGCCACAACAUUUCAGCAACUAUUUAGCAGGAAAUAACACAAGAAAUGAGCAGUGGACAAAGGGAUGCAAAAUAACUGCAUGGUAGUAAGGGAAUGUAAAGAAGUAUAUGGCUCUGAAAUUUUAAUGUCUAUGAAAAUGUAUAUGAUUAAUAAUAUUUGUGAACAAAACAAUUAAAUGUUCAGUGAAAUAGUCUGAAAUAGUCUGUGGAAAAAUUGGAGAAUUUCCAACAGCCUAUUUAACUAAAAUAAUCUGAGAAUCACAGCUUUAAGGAUUCUAUUUCCUUGUAAAAUAAUUUUGCUCAUCUGAAGUUUUAGUACAGUUCAUUAGACCAUGCAGACAAAAAAGAUUCACAGCUUUCCAUCUGGGUACCUUGAGCCAUUUGCCAUAUGGUUUUUAUUGGUUGCCCAAUAAAAUAUGAAGUAAAUUACUUGGUAUCAAGUAAUAUAAAAAUGCUAUUUUCCCCCUGUUCUUCUUAAUAAGAUGCUUCAUAAUAUUUUUCUUAAGGAAGACCCUAUAGAGACCAACACACUGUCAGUCAUAUGAUUGUACUUAACAGGGAAUUUAUCACAAACUCUUAGCAAGUAUAAAGUUAAUGUAAAAUCUAAUCUCCUUUGUGUCCUCCCAUCCCUGUCCCCAGUGUCUAUGUCUGUUCCUACCCCAGCCCCCAAUCACCCAGUCAUAUUUCAUGACAUGCUUCUCUGCUCUGCAGAAGCUGAUGAACUUGUUCUGACAGACGAUUUAGAAGCAGGAUGUGUUGGGUUGUGAACUACUUCCUGUGCACUUGCUUUAGGUUGAGGAAAUCCUCACCCUCUUAAAAAUCCUUGCCUUCCAAUAAAUCACAGUGUUCCCCUUUGCCAGUUUUAGAGAGCUUGGGCAGACAAAGGACCAUGGAAAAGACAUUUGGAUGGAGCAAGGGAGGCUUUUAGUGGGAGGAGUUAUGCCAGCUUCCCUCUAAGUAAAUAUUAUCCGUAUGUGCUUGGGCUUCUGAAAGUACAGAAUGUUAACUCUGAGUCUCACUUUGCAUGGACUCAGAGAGAUACAAAUAAUCCACAAAGCUAUAAUGCAUAACACGUCAGUUUUAAAAAUAAUGAUGAACAGUGUGACAAACAUUUGUUUCAUAGCAGUUCUUAGAAAUAACAAUGAAAAGCACUAUUUUAAUGCCAACCAUCUUCUAAACUUGGUUAAUUCUAUUCUGAAAUGUGGCCAAUAUUUUGUGCUUUUGAAUUAUCCAGGACUGUCAAAUGACUCACAUUUUUGGUUAAAUAAAGACAGAAUAGGUCUUUGGUAGAGAGUACAAAUAUUUCUUUUUAUUGGAAAAGUGCA